rnacentral:rRNA from 1 species
CGGACGGGUGAGCAAUACUUAGGAAUCUACCCAGUAGCGGGGGACAACUCGGGGAAACUCGAGCUAAUACCGCAUACGCACCAAGGAGGAAAGCAGGGGAUCUUCGGACCUUGCACUAUUGGAUGAGCCUAAGUCGGAUUAGCUUGUUGGUGAGGUAAAGGCUCACCAAGGCGACGAUCCGUAGCUGGUCUGAGAGGACGAUCAGCCACACUGGGACUGAGACACGGCCCAG